UACGUAGGGGGCAAGCGUUGUCCGGAUUUACUGGGCGUAAAGAGCGUGUAGGCGGCCAAACAGGUCCGUUGUGAAAACUGGAGGCUCAACCUCCAGACGUCGACGGAAACCGUAUGGCUAGAGUCCGGAAGAGGAGAGUGGAAAUUCCUGGUGUAGCGGUGAAAUGCGCAGAUAUCAGGAAGAACACCAAUGGCGAAGGCAGCUCUCUGGGACGGUACUGACGCUGAGACGCGAAAGCGUGGGGAGCGAACAGG
rnacentral:rRNA from 1 species